UCGCCCAAGGAUGGGGCCGCGACCGAUCAGGUUGUUGGUGAGGUAAUGGCUCACCAAGCCUUUAACCGGUGCGGGCCGUGAGAGCGGGAGCCCGGAGAUGGGCACUGAGACAAGGGCCCAGGCCCUACGGGGCGCAGCAGUCGCUAAAACUUUGCAAUACACGCCAUUGUGACAAAGCUAUCCCGAGUGCCAUCCGCUGAGGAAGGCUUUUACCCUGUAUACAUAGCUGGGGGAAUAAGGAUAGGGCUAGACUGGUGUCAGCCGACGCUGUAAUACCAGCUCUCCGAAUGGUGUGGAUG
rnacentral:rRNA from 1 species